CUGCAGAACAGCUUUCCUCAAACUAUUUGAAUCCUUUAAUUCAUACUCUUCACUGAUUCAUAGCAAGCUGCAAAAAAAUUACCUCUCUACAUUUAAAGCUAUGUCUACUGCUAACAUUAAACACUGAAGUUAAUUGCCAGCAAAAUCCUUGCAGAAACAUCAUUGGUACUCUGCAAAAUAAGAAUGUCUUAUUGGAAGCACCAGUUUUGCCAGGAGUUGGUGAGAGUAUGCAGACAGACGAAAUGAAGUGUUUGGUUACUUGCAAAAUGUCCUCCCACACCAGCACAGCUGAAGACUCAAAGCAAAGGAAGAGUGAAGGAAGCCAAGGUCAGAAGAAAAGGUGAGCUUUUGGACUGACACUCUCUACUUCCCAGUGAGAUGUAGCUGUCUGUGCUGCCCAGCAUCAUUUGGUACAUUUAUAAGGCCUUUUGUGCUAGUACUGUUGUUUUGAGACUGUUCUGGAGUGGCUAUGUCUGGUGGCUGCUGCAGACGGACACAGCACCUGGAGAGAGUACGAACAGGCUGCAGCAUGGCCAUGCUCAGGAGCAGAAGCAAGGUGUGGCGGGCUCCAUGCUGAUGGACUGUGCUGAGGAUGCUGCUGCUCCGGUGUCCUAAAGCAGGGAUUCCAAGCUCCUGCCUCCCUGCAGGAGGACAAUCAAGCCGCCUACACGUAGCAAAUAACCACAGCAGCAGACUGCUGGAGUGCCAGAAGUACCAACAAAGUACAUCUGACUGCUCCUACUGGCAUGUCAAUGGUAACUAAUCUUGAGUGUGUUCUAAGGGUCAGUGCAUCUCUGACAGUGAGAGCUGCACUGCCACCGGUACCCGUGCUGGUGGGUGUUCAACCAGAAGCUGAACACAGUGAUUGUCAUAGACCACAUGGAUGGGGACCAAUGUCCUAAGUGCAUUGCUAAAACAGUAACAGGGAGGGAGCUUGCCGUAGAUCCAAGAGGUUCACAGCUCUUAAUUCUCUUUCAAUUAGUAAUAUCACAUUAUGUUCCCCAGAUUAGUGGUUCUUGGUAGCAUUGAGUACAUACAAGUACAGGGUAGGUCAGCUCACUGCUGAAGUAUGACAUGCAGCUUUCCGUGUGAAGGAAGAGUGUGGUUACAACUAAAAAAAAAAUGUUACUUUAACUUCUGUACUUGUUCAUAUUUUCAUAGCAUUUAAGCUUAUCUUUUUACUCUUAUCAGUUUCAGUUUAUCUAGUUUAGUGGUCAAAAUGAGCCAGAUGGAAAGGGAUGUGCUAUUCCCUAUCAUGUCCUAAACUAUAUCAACCCAGUGAGUUUAAUUGCCAAUCUAAAAUCUGAAGCUGGAAUCAUAAAUACUUGCUGUAUCUAAAAUACAAAUGAUACAGCUCAGCCUGUUAAUGGACUAAGCACGUAUUAACCUCCCAACAACAUGGCAGAGUUUUGGAAAGUUCAUGUGCAUGCUACAUUGUAGAUUUCUUUAAAGAUUAUGAGCGUAUAUUUCUAUAAGUUGUUGCAGAAAUAAAAGGUGCCUUCAUUAAAAAGAUAAUAAAAAGUAGAAGAUGUUAAAAUUACUGAAACAUCUGUAAGCAAAACUACUAUUAAUUAUAAUAGAAGUAAAUUCCUUGAAAUGAGAGGAGUGGGAGUCCUGAGAACACAUGCACAGCUUUAUGUUGAAGUUAUUUAAUAAACAACUAAGAUAUGGAAGGCUAUGAUCUGAUUUUGAUCAUUUUGACAACAUUUGUGCUAAGUGCUUCCAUCUUUCUUUUAAAUAACUAAUUGUCUUUUUCUCUGAGGAAAGACAAGUCUAUUCAGAUCUUUCAGAAAAUAAGUCUGAGAGGGACGUCAGGAAGCCACAGAAACAUCAACUCUUCUGUCACUUUUGAUGGCUAUUAAUCUUUUCUUCAAAGCUUGUAUAAUUUCCCUGGGCAAUAUUUUCCCUUCAUUUCAAAUUCUAAUCCUGUAUUGCCCUGCUGUGAGUGAAGAAAAUUACUUAAUUUGUUUCUUCACUGUUAGCAUGCAGAGUAGGUUACCCUUUCCCAUUUUGCCUGUAGCUCUGUGGGUGUUUGAAGGCUUCUUCAAAUUUCAUCUCUUCCCUCUCAGUGUGGCAUGUCUCUGUCUCCAGGAAGCAUUUGUCCAGGUUUGUUUCUUGUGACUCCCUUUGGUCAAGGAAGACUUCUACACACAGUGACAAUCUAUGUGUAUUGUAACAUAUUGCCAUGAAUUCCCAACAGAAGUUAUUCUAAACUAUUACAUGUGGAAUUCAUAUCUUCAGUUAAGGCCCCCUAUGGGACUUCAAGUUCAGAAAUAAGGUUUACUUCAUUUUUUUAUGUGGUUAUUUUUGGUCAGCUAAUUCAAGGUGAUCAACUUAUUAGACAUUUAAAAUGUUUAAGGAUUUUCACAAUCACAGUAUAAUAAAAUGAAAUUCUGAGAAAUAACUUUUUGUCUCGGGAUUUCUAAUGUUUAGUAUACAUAUGAGUAUGCAUAGUAAAUGAGAAAAAAUAGUGUUUUCCCAGAUAAAGUAACCCUUGGGAGAAUCAGAAGCAACAACAGUAAAAGAUGCUCAACUUGCAUUCUAAGCGUUCACAGGGUCCACCAGUGACAUGUUAUAUAUUUGAGAUAUUACUCAAUAUGUAUAUGUGCUUCCCUAUUGGAACAGGAAAGAACAACUACUCAUAUCAUGACCAUACCUUGACUGGAUAUCAAUAUGCUUGGUUCUUUUGCUUUGGUAGGGCACUGAUUAGUCUCACUUCUGGAAGUCUCAUCUGCUCAGUUAAUGACCAAAACAAUAAACCUGAUGUACCCCAUUUCCACAAAUUCUGCUGAAAAGCUUAGACAAACUUUGGCUUACUUAACCUGACCAACAAUGAAGUUUCCAGUUUAACCCCAUGGUAGUUAAAAGAAAGUUAUAGUAAAUUAGCAGAUACUUGUGGAUUGUUUAAUCAGACAACUCACCCCUUGGUCACUUCACAGGGAACAAUGCCCUUGCACAGCUUCAAAUAAAUUGACUUUUUCAAAUCAUGUGCAUGUCAUAGUGCUAAGGAUAAUUUUUUCCCUCAGAAAACACAUUUGCGUCCCGUUUUAGUUGUAUAUGUCCCUACUGAUUUCUUCCUAACAUUUGAAGUAGCCAAAAACCUAUGAAAAUGUUACUUUUCCCAAGAAAUACAAACCACGGUUAGUUUUGCAAAAUAUAUGGACUUUUCAUAGGACUGUAAGGUGACAUCAUGCUGUGAAAUACUGCAGCUCAGGUAUAGAUGUGAACAAGUUGUCUGACUGCAGGGGAGGUUGGCAGAGAAAGACUGAUGAAGUUACUAAAACUGCCAGAGAUCUACAGAUUUGGUUUGCACAACUAAAGA